rnacentral:rRNA from 1 species
GAUCAUGGCUCAGGAUGAACGCUGGCGGCGUGCCUAAUACAUGCAAGUCGAACGCUUCACAUAUGUGAAGAGUGGCGAACGGGUGAGUAAUACAUAAGUAACCUGGCCUUUACAGGGGGAUAACUAUUGGAAACGAUAGCUAAGACCGCAUAGGUGUGAUAACCGCAUGGAGAUGACAUGAAAUAUGCUACGGCAUAGGUAGAGGAUGGACUUAUGGCGCAUUAG